CCUACGGGAGGCAGCAGUGAGGAAUAUUGGUCAAUGGGCGCGAGCCUGAACCAGCCAAGUAGCGUGAAGGAUGAAUGCCCUACGGGUUGUAAACUUCUUUUAUAAAGGAAUAAAGUGAGGCACGUGUGCCUUUUUGUAUGUACUUUAUGUAUAAGGAUAGGCUAACUCCGUGCCAGCAGCCGCGGUACUACGGAGGAUCCGAGCGUUAUCCGGAUUUAUUGGGUUUAAAGGGAGCGUAGAUGGGUUGUUAAGUCAGUUGUGAAAGGUUGCGGCUUAACCGUAAAAUUGCAAUUGAUACUGGCAGUCUUGAGUACAGGUGGGGUAGGCGGAAUUCGUGGUGUAGCGGUGAAAUGCUUAGAUAUCACGAAGAACUCCGAUUGCGAAGGCAGCUUACUAAGCUGCCACUGACAUUGAUGCGCGAAAGUGUGGGUAUCAAACAGGAUUAGAUACCCCAGUAGUC
rnacentral:rRNA from 1 species